AACGAACGCUGGCGGCAUGCCUUACACAUGCAAGUCGAACGAGACCUUCGGGUCUAGUUGCGCACGGGUGCGUAACGCGUGGGAACCUGCCCUUAGGUUCGGAAUAACUCCCCGAAAGGGGUGCUAAUACCGGAUAAUGUCUUCGGACCAAAGAGUUAUCGCCUUUGGAUGGGCCCGCGUUGGAUUAGCUAGUUGGUAGGGUAAAAGCCUACCAAGGCGACGAUCCAUAGCUGGUCUGAGAGGAUGAUCAGCCACACUGGGACUGAGACACGGCCCAGACUCCUACGGGAGGCAGCAGUGGGGAAUAUUGGACAAUGGGCGAAAGCCUGAUCCAGCAAUGCCGCGUGAGUGAUGAAGGCCUUAGGGUUGUAAAGCUCUUUUACCCGGGAUGAUAAUGACAGUACCGGGAGAAUAAGCUCCGGCUAACUCCGUG
rnacentral:rRNA from 1 species